CUAUAAUCCUGACCUUCUUCCACAGCUCCUCCAAGAACAUUCUGGACUUUUAUUGGAGUUGUUAUUGGAGUCCUUCUUUUACUUUCAAUCUGCGUCUAUACACAAUGGAAUCAGAAGAGGAAGGAAGCUGACCGACUUCCAAAUUCCAGUGAUCCACUCAUUUCAGUGAACCAGCGGGCUAAUAAUGGAGGUCAAUCUGGCUGCAGUGUGAAGAAUGAGGCUCCAUGUUAGAGACGCGUGACCACAAUCCCCAUGUUCCACAUCCUGCAUUUGUCUUGCCUUCAUCAGAGUCUCCUUCCCAAAGCCGUACCUCCGUACCCAUGUUACACCCCCAGCACCAAACCCGUGUUUCAAACCCGGAGCCAAAGCCUCAUGUAUCACAUAAAAUCCCACGCCAGUGUUUUACAGCCUGACCUGCCGUCACUGAUUCCUGUCAGAUGUCCUUCACCAAACGGCUCUCAUGGUCUCCUCACCCAUGUCAUCGGCAUUCAUGCUGGAGCCAGCUGAUGCUGUUUGUGGGUCCAUCAAACUAUGCAGCAUCACGCAGGAGUAACAUCUCCCACAUGUCAUCCCCAUGUGACACUGAGGUCACAUGACCAAUAGGUGCCUUUGACAUGCAGACAAGAUGAUUAAAUAGAUGGAUGGAUGAUGGAUCAUUAAUCCCUAAGGAAACUGAGGCACCAGUAGCUCCAAAACACAAUGAUAGACACAAUAAUGCACACGGUAAUAGAAUAAAGCACAAGGAUUGCAGAUGUAGAGGGUGCGUCUAUGGAUACAGUGCAAAGGCCAAUACCUCGAAGAAGCUAUUUAUCAUAUUCAUAAGAUAUCGAUAUCCAAUGCCCUCCCUAUCCUGCCAGCUGUUUUGCACAGAAGUACAGGUCACAGUCAGAAAUUACUUUUGCCUGGGUAAUAAUUGAAGCAUUAUGCCUUUUGAUUACAGACAAGUGAGUUGCUGAGAUGAUUCAUGUUUGUUUCUGUUUGUUUGUUUUUAAUCACCUUCUAUAUCAAUUUGCAUCUUUCAACAGACGUUCUGUAGUUAAAAAUUUAGUCUGCUUUAAGUCCCCUUAAAAUGCACACACAGUACAUUUGUACAGUGUGUUCUGCUAUAACGGUCAUUGGGAAAAUGCGAAUUUACUCUAAUGUGAUUGGUAUAUUGGGGAACUGUUGCAGUAUAGUGCGAUGUUAGUAGAUGUAAGUUUUAAACACAAUUUUGUCUGUGAGAAACACCAGGUGAAUGUAGAAAAUGCCACCCAGCUGAACCUACCUGUGUUGAAAUGCAUGGAAUGCACUCAACUGAAAUACCCAGCUACUGCAUUAUAGGAGAACAUACUGCUGCUUUGCAGUAGCUGGGUUGAACUAAAAGCUGGUUCCAUUUUGUAUUGUUUGCAAAGAAUGCUAGUUUUCUGUUGUUUGGCUUCCGUGGCUGUUCACCAGAGGAAACGGACUCCCCGGCUGAAUGCUCUGCUAUGGCGUCUGGUGUCUGACUGCCUCGUACUUAUUAUAUAUAUUUUUUGCUUUGCACUUUUUCACUUUGUUGUGUUUUUCUUUUCUUUUUUAUGUGUAUGUACCAGGCAGCUUGUUUGUGGCAUUCACGUGGUGUCUAUCAUUAAACCAUGACUACAUUAA